rnacentral:rRNA from 1 species
GACGAACGCUGGCGGCGUGCUUAACACAUGCAAGUCGAACGGAAAGGCCCUGCUUUUGUGGGGUGCUCGAGUGGCGAACGGGUGAGUAACACGUGAGUAACCUGCCCUUGACUUUGGGAUAACUUCAGGAAACUGGGGCUAAUACCGGAUAGGAGCUCCUGCUGCAUGGUGGGGGUUGGAAAGUUUCGGCGGUUGGGGAUGGACUCGCGGCUUAUCAGCUUGUUGGUGGGGUAGUGGCUUACCAAGGCUUUGACGGGUAGCCGGCCUGAGAGGGUGACCGGCCACCUUGGGACUGGGGUACGGCCCAGGCUCCUACGGGAGGCAGGAGGGGGGGAUUUUGCACAAUGGGCGGAAGCCUGAUGCAGCAACGCCGCGUGCGGGAUGACGGCCUUCGGGUUGUAAACCGCUUUCGCCUGUGACGAAGCGUGAGUGACGGUAAUGGGUAAAGAAGCACCGGCUAACUACGUG